rnacentral:lncRNA from 1 species
GUCUCCGCUUCCUUCCCGUGGCUUCUAGAGUCUUCUAGAUGUAAGAUAAUUGCGCGGCACGUUGAUAUCUCUAUGUAAUCCCGACGUGUGGGCCUUUCCUUCAUAUUUCCUGCUAACCCCCUACAGAAAUAGACAAACACCAAAACUCGUGGAAUUCUGUCAGAUAAAACCCUAAGUUUAGAUGUUGGUUGUAUUUGGAUCCUUUUCUUUAUUUAUUUGAUGAUUAUAUUUGGUACUUAAGGACCGUCAACAACUCCCCCAAGCUUACCUCUUGCUCGUCCCUGAGCAAGGAUGGACUCAAGAGUUUUUGCAGUGGUUUUAUGCCUUAAAGGUACACAUGCGUUUAAAUAAGAUCUUAUCUCUAGGUUAGGGUAAACUGUUAAGAUUUAAAACUUACUCAUAUUACCUUCCACCAUGGGGCUUGCAACCGUCACUUGUGUCUUGAACAGUUAAAAGAUAGAACGGUCAAGUCCAGCACCAUGUCUCUUGUUCUUUGAUCAACUAUAGCUCUGGAGUUUUGCAGAAUUUCAAAUAAAACUCAGAGAUUCCUUGUAUGACACUCUCUAGUCUCUCUUUUGUGGUAUUUCUGGAUUCUUACCAAGGCAGUGAUAAUAUACGCCUUCUCUCAAAGUAUGUAGUAUUUGUGGUAUGUGGCAUAGUGAUAUUGCCUUCUCUCUCACCCUACUCUAAUAAGGUUUGAUAUCUGGAGCUCAUAGGUGGGAGACAGCUAAUACAUACUUACAAGACAUUUAUUGCAUGGUGACGAUGGUGAUAAUGGUGAAAAAAAUGGUGAAAGUCUAAUUCUACUUUUGCUCUUUUGAGGGGAUACAUACCUUUCUUGCACUUUGAAGGUUUUUGAGAUGAAUGAGAUGCCCUAUAUUUUAUUUUUCUUUUCUCUCAUGUGGGUAUCUUGUACCCCUAAUUCUACUGUCGGACACUUGUCCAUUUUUACCUCUCGUCUCACUUUUUCUUUUUCUUAGAGGUUCCGGGCACUUGCACCUUUUAUUUCCUCGUAUUCACUUUUUUCCUCUUUUUUUUCAGAGCACUCACCCUCCUGGAAUAAUGUAGCAAGUGGUAGUAACUAAAAUAUCUUGAGCAUUUAUUUCACGGGGAAUAACAGGGAUAGGAUAAUAUUUUUGGCUAUUCUCUCCUGGAUAGGAGUAGAAUAAUUUUGGGUAAAUCUGGAGAUGGAAAGGAGUGGAUGUAUAUGGAUGCGUACUUCCGGAGUAGAAGUAGCAUGUAUGAGUGAACGUGCAAGUGAAUCUUGAUUUUAACCGUAUGACAAGCUCCUAAGGGUCUACACAGCUUGACCACACUCAAUGCUCAUAAGCAGAAAAAAGUAAAUGUAUGGUUUAUAGUCCAAUAAGCAUGUAUAUAUGGCUAUGGUAGGAUUUUAAACUCUCAUCAUACAGGAACUCAUCAUGCAACAUUUUAAAGAUUUUCAAAGAUAAAAUUCUCCAGAAUUCUAGCAUCUCCAGGAACAGAUAAACAGCAGCUCAACCUUCCCAUAUCAUAUCCAUUAACGACUUAGACUUUAGAUCAAGUACUCUUCCCACAAGUUCAGGUUUAGGGAAAAUCUUAAUUCAUAACAGUCAUGCCUAAACUUGAGAGAGAUUUCAAUUUUGACUAGUCAUGGCAGAGCAACUAUUCAUUAUUUCCAUGUGAGAGCUUAUCAUGAGGGUCCAUAGCAAACUUUAUUUAUUUAUUUAUUUAGCAAACUAAGCAAAGAUAUAUAUAUAAGUAUAAACUCUUUAUUUGGGUUUUUUAUGAUUAUGCAUUUUUUUAUUAUUUGAGUAAAGUAUAAACGCGAGUAGAAACACUUAGCUGGGUAGAUGGGGGUGCUCUCCCCCUAGCUGGAUUUUGACGUAAUUUCUUUUGAUGUAGCUAGCAGGUGGUGGAGGUGUAUUUGAAUGUCGGCAGCACCCUGAUAGCGAUUAGGAUGUCCUCCGUCUGCUAGUCUUCUUUGAUCUUAAAUUAUGUGGAGCUCAAAUAGACAACAAAGCUUUGUGGAACUAGUUAAGUGUUAGCAUAAAUAUCUAGCCUCUAUCAUAUUGAGCUUCCUCUAAUAGAUAUUACUCUCUUUGGUAGGAUCAUAAAUUUAUUUCUAUAUUUUCAUUUCUAUACGACAGAAAUAUAUUUAUUUAAUUUUUACGCCACCACAGUGAAUGUACUUAUGGGUUUUAUGCCCCGAGCAUACUCACAUGGGGCUUACUAUUUUAAACAUUUUUAUUUUCUUUUCAAGAUAGCAUGAUUAACUAACAAGCCAUUUAAGGUAAGUAAGUAACUAAAUGGAAAAGGGAAUGCAGAAGGGAUAAAUAUGGAUAACUACCGAUUUUACCUUUCGGCGAGGGUUCAAUGUUUUAAGUCUUCUGAACAAGACUUCUCAUCGUGUUCAUUCUUUAGGUGUGUCAUUUGAUUCAGGUGUGGACCUUGACGUCUGCAUCUCUUGAUACGGUGUCACCCAUGUUCUUCGUUUGCCCAGCAGUUCGAAGUGCGGCGUUGGCAGUAUCUUGCUUAGUGUGUUUGUGCUCGUAGAUCCAAGUCCUUCACUUGGUAGAGUCUGGGAGUUGAAAAACUCCACCAUGCUUUGCUCGAAGUGUACCUGCUCGUAGAGACAAGGCAGAGAUCAAGUGCAUGGGUCCUGUUGGUGGAAAAUACCAACAGAACCAAAAGUGUAUUUGCUCUUCUCUAACCUUAACCAUAGUGAGCAAGACAAAUUUGAUGGAUAGUAAGAUCAUGAGUGUAGCAUUUAAAACAUUUGCCAGAUCAGAUCGCUCAACCUAAUGGAAAGAUAGUCUAUCUAUAUAUAUGUCUUUUUCUUUAUAUCUUCCCAAAGAUUGAAUGUGCAACAUUUUAGCUCAUAUGGCUGGGAGUGUGGGGAUCAAAGAUUAAGGUACUAAACAUACUGAAUCAGUGGGGUUGGUUAAUUUGUAGUUAUAAAUCAUACAUGUUUGUCUCUUUUAUUCAUACGAAUGCCAGAACCAAUGAGAAGCUUAUAAAAGUGAUAGUCAAGUACCUUAAGGUGUUACCUUAAUUGAAGAGUGAUGGUACAGUCUCACCUUGUGGAAGCUUUCCUUUCUUAGCGGUUGUGCAUCGUGUUUGUGGCACCCUCCAUGGAUCAUCUCUUAUGAGCUACGUCUUCCUUGUGUAAAUUGUUAAAUUUGAUGUGUCUCUCUCUUUGUCUCCAAUGUGAGUUUAUCUCAGGACUUCCCAAAUCAAUAUUGAAAGUUUUCCUGCAGGGGUUAGUCCAACAAAAUAUCCAAUAUCUACUAUAGCAUACUAUCGGCUUAAAAAUCAACCUAGACACCAUGUCUAAUUUGAUUUAGGAGGGCAUUUUAACCUAAGCACCAUGCUUAAUUUAAAAUCCCUUGGAAGUGAGAUCAUCCUUCCUAACUAAGCACCAUGCUUAAUUAAGAGACAAAUGAAACUACUCCAAACCUAGACAUAUACUAAAGCAAAUAAAGGUAGAAUGAGAGCAUUUAUAGAGAUCUACUCAAGUGGAGAUGAAGUAGUGUGAUUAGUAUUUAACAAAUUGAGCAUGUCUCAAAGGUAGGGACAACCAACAUAGCAACAUUGCAAAGGAUGUUUUUAUGUAAAGUACUCCCCCAUGCUUGAAUUUUGAAAAAUUCAAGUUUGGAUGAAUUUAAUUCAGUGUUGCAUGAUGAUUGGUUGGACAUACCAUGUGCUUGCUUGUCAUUCAUCCGAUCUUCUUGUUCCAAUCUUGGAAAGGUUAGUGACAAGAAUAGCAGAAGGAAUAUUUUUACAAUUAUCCUUAUAUGCUCAAUACACAAGGUAAUGUUGUAAAUAAUUAAAAGCUCAGGUUACGAUCUGAUCAGUGCUUAUUUUAGGACACUAAGCUUGUCCCUGGGAAACCAUCAAUUUAUGUCAGUGAAGUGGUUUCCCUUCCAACGCUGACUUAUAUCAAGAUCAACUCAACGAGAUCUACAAUAUUUAUUAUAGACAUAUGCAUCGACAACCGCACUUUUAAAGUUUUUAUAAAUAGAAAGGAAGAGGGGGUUGGAGAUCUCAAAUGUGGUGAUGUUGGAGAGACCAAUAGAUUGGGAAGAUGUUGCAUAUGAGCAUGGAGUAAACGAAGUGGCUUGAAAUAAAUUCUAUGCUCAUUAAUGUUAUCUUCGUCUCCAAUCUGAAUGUUCGGAGUUUCUUCUGGAUUGGUCUCACUUAUGUCCUCUUCUAUAGUUGGAUGAAUCCCAUUUUCAAAGGGAGUCAAGAACUCACCAUUUGAAAUUGAGCCAAAGUCAGAAUCCAUUAAGGCUUCUUCCUUAUCCAUCCAUUCUACACAUUCUAGCCAUUUGGAACUUGUGAUAAGGAAAGGGGAGCUGAUAGAAUUUUCUAUAUGGCUUAGCUCUCCUUCACUUGAUAUGUCAUCCUCGACUUCUUCAUAAAAGGAACCAGGACAUUCUCUAAGAGAAACAUUAUUGCAAGGAUUUGAAUUAUCCCUGCUUGAAGGUCUCUUAUGGAACCAGAAGUCUAAACCAUCCGUAUCUAGAAGAUUUAAGGUCGGAAUUCCUUCCUCCCUUAGAGAAUUUUGGGGUAUUGAUGGUUUAGGAUCGACAGCUAAAGUUUGGGAUUGAAGUGGUUGUGAUCUGGCUAUCGAAACUUCUUCUUCUUGUCUAGGAACUGGUUCUUUCUCUUUCUCAGGGAUAUAAAAGCUAGGAGACUUUCCGCUUAAUAAAUCAAUCAGAUUCCAAGCUUCACUAGCAGAUAGGUGAUAGAAGGAUCCUCUAGAGGCUGUAUUCAAGGUUUGCUUAUUUUCCCCACUAAGGCCCUCAAAAAGUGAAUUAGAAGAACUUCUUUUGGAAUAGAAAGCUUUGGGCCAGUGAGAGUAAGGUUAAUAAAGCGGUCCCAUGAUUUGCUAAGAGAUUCUUCUUCCAGUUGUCUAAAAUAAAUAAUCUCACGCCGAAGUUCCGCCACUUUGGAGAUUGGAAAAUAUUUAAAAAGAAAACUAUUGUAUAACUCCUUCCAAUCUCCAUGAACACUCCCUACUUUGAGUUUAUACCAAUGUCUAGCUUUUCCUAUUAAAGAGAAUGGAAAGCGCUUCCAUUUAAGGGUCUCAUCGGACAUGCCUUCUAUGCGAAGGAGGUCACAGACUCGAUAAAACUCUCUUAGGUGUGUGUAUGGGUUUUCCUCACCUUCUCCUGAGAAAGGUUGUUUUUGAACAAAUUCUAUGUAUUCGGGGUCUAUCUCAAAACUAGAUGCUAUGAUAGCCUUUGAAGAUUUUGGUGGUUCGAGAUGUGUACCCGUAGGUCUAUGGAAUUCAUAGAUAGACAUGUUUGAAUUCAUGAUAGACCAGAGAUCAAGGAUUAGAUAAGAAGAAAGAAUAGCAGAGAUGAGGCAAAGGAUAAAAGGAAAAUAUAUAUAUAUAUAUUUAUUUUUUUAUAUUUUUUUAUAUUUUUUAGAAAAUGAUUAAGCUAGUUCGUAGUCAACUCAACAAUCGUUUCCCCGGCAACGGCGCCAAAAAUGAUUGUUGACACUUGCUAACACCACUUGAAUACUAGGUUGUCAUCCCCAGCAUGGCACUAGAGUGUACUAUGGUAUUUAUACGCACACAGAUAAUCCGCAAGCGCACGGAUACCGUUGAAGCUUUUACCCGGUUAAAGAUUUUAUCGUAUCCACAGGGAAACGGGAGAACUGAUCUACGCUCUAACUUAACCAAGAUAAGUAAAUAGAUGUAAAUAGGAAAGAUGGUAGAAUCGAAUAAGAACAAUAUUAAAGGUAAGAUAAAAGUGAGUGAUAAUAUGGGAAUAGAGAGUAGAGCAAUUCUAGUAUAUGGGCGAUGGUAGCAGAAUAGAGAGGAUAACUAUGGUUUCUCUACUUCAAAGGGGUAUGUCUAUGUCUGGGACGAACCACGUGAUAAGAUUACACCACAAAGGAUGCUUAUCCAUAGGCCGAUAAACCCUACCCGUCCUGCUAACGAGAGGUGGACUACAGAGGACCAACGUAACUGUCACCUACGCGGCCUACCACACGAUCCAGCUAAACAGGGGAUAUCGACAAGUAAUCUAGGUCUAAGCACCACGCUUACACCUAUACUACAACUCUAACAUAUAGGGUCCUACAGAUUAGAAGUACUCAAAAGAGUUGUGAACCAGAACAUACAUGAUUAGUAAUUGCAUAAUGAAUUAGAAGUAGAUUACCGGACUCAUCCCAUGAGCAAGCUUGAUUAGAGCUUGAUCAUGACAAAGUACAACCGGAGGAAGAACCAACAGGCCGGCCUCUCCUCUAAUCCUCCUUCGCUCUCCAUCUCGCUACUAUCUAGAUCUACUCUAGUUUAGAGAAGAGAGGAGAGCUCUCAUCUCUAAACCCUAGCUUUUGCUCUGUCUAUGAAUAAUGAAUAAUGAAUAAUGAUCAAGGGGUGCCUCCUCCAGGGGCCAGGACGUCUGGUUAUAUAGUCCCCUCAAGUGAACCUGGGCCGUCAGAUCAAACCAACAUUGAUUGAACGCUUAUUCUUGAUCCUUGAGGUCGGUGGAGCAUAAUCCGCGAGAUUGAGCGUGAUUGGCCGAAAUAGGUGGGCAGGCGCCCUAAGGACUUGCGCGGGCGCCCUGUCCCUGACUCCGUUCGGUCUCCGCUUCCUUCCCGUGGCUUCUGGAGUCUUCUAGAUGUAAGAUAAUUGCGCGGCACGUUGAUAUCUCUAUGUAAUCCCGACGUGUGGGCCUUUCCUUCAUAUUUCCUGAUAACCCCCUGCAAAAAUAGACAAACACCAAACCUCGUGGAAUUCUGUCAGAUAAAACCCUAAGUUUAGAUGUUGGUUGUAUUUGGAUCCUUUUCUUUAUUUAUUUGAUGAUUAUAUUUGGUACUUAAGGACCGUCAACAACUACAAGAAUAUUUCCUAAGUCAUUCUAACUAUACAGUUUUAGCAUAUUAUGAUUAGUGCAA